CCUACGUGAGGCAGCAGUGAGGAAUAUUGGUCAAUGGGCGCGAGCCUGAACCAGCCAAGUCGCGUGAGGGAGGACGGCCCUACGGGUUGUAAACCUCUUUUGCCGGGGAGCAACGGGCGCCACGUGUGGCGUCACUGAGAGUACCCGGAGAAAAAGCAUCGGCUAACUCCGUGCCAGCAGCCGCGGUAAUACGGAGGAUGCGAGCGUUAUCCGGAUUUAUUGGGUUUAAAGGGUGCGUAGGUGGUUAAUUAAGUCAGCGGUGAAAGUUUGUGGCUCAACCAUAAAAUUGCCGUUGAAACUGGUUGACUUGAGUAUAUUUGAGGUAGGCGGAAUGCGUGGUGUAGCGGUGAAAUGCAUAGAUAUCACGCAGAACUCCGAUUGCGAAGGCAGCUUACUAAACUAUAACUGACACUGAAGCACGAAAGCGUGGGGAUCAAACAGGAUUAGAUACCCCGGUAGU
rnacentral:rRNA from 1 species